GGCACGGUGGUGCAGUGGUUAGCGCUGUCGCCUCACAGCAAGAAGGUUGUGGGUUCGAUCCUGGCCUGGGGCC